GCACAAGAAUCUGCAGUUUAAUGCUCAGAAUCAGUCUACGUCCUUCCUGUACCCCAACGUCACACAGGAAGACCUCUCUGUGUGGAAACGACAGUCCUCUGCUGCCCACUGCCACAGGAGGGGGGCUCAGGGACACUGAACUCCUCCAGACACCACCAAGAACACACCCACCACCCCAGGAUCCUAUAUAUUUCUUCUUGGAGACUAAAGUUAGACACCUCCAUAAUGUCAUAAUGCAAGACGAAUUAAUGUGUGCAAGGAUCUAUGUACUCCAGCAAGACUCAAGUAUCUUCUAAUAAAACGCCCCAAAAUGUCAUUUGUAUCCCACAAAACGUGUGAUACCUUCAGUAAUGUAACAAUGAGAUCCCUGACCAAAACCACUACAGAUUACCCGCCGAAUGGUGACAGUUUCCCUUCAAACCCUUAUGGGUCAGACCCCACAGAAGUCAACACAUAAACACCAGAUGGUGCUUCUCGGAUCCACCCCUCAGGAUUCAGGCACAAACUGCCCUCCAGCUGUCAGUUUGGCUGCUGAUCACUGGACAGCUCACCCCCUCCUUGUAAAGUGACUCGGCUACAGGGAGCAGCGGCCUCUUCAUCACUGGGCAGCCAGUGUCCAGUGUCUGGUCAAUGCAGGAAAGAGAAGCCUGUUCCUUCCCUCAAAUUGGACCAACUCUGGAAGGUCAUCCCCCCUCCAGAGCUCCCUGCUGUAGCCAUCCAGUGGAUUCUGGAUUUUUGUCCUGAGGGCAACAGGAAGCCAAUGAAAGGAUUAAAGCCAGGGAAUUCCUUCCCUGCUGUUUGUCCCUCUCCUGUCACCCAUCGCCCCUUUUUCUGUCCCAGCACCACCUCUGUCGCUGCCGCGGCUCCAGUUCUUCUAUUCCUUCCCCCGCGGUCUCAGUCUGAUGUAUCUGCUCCUUGCUGCCCCUCUCCUAUCACCGGUUAAGGUCUCUCUCGUCCAGUGUGCUACCCUUCACCUCUCUGGAGAUACCUUUUAAUCUAGAUUUCUCUAUUUUCUUCUCCCUCUACUUUUCUUUGGUUCACUCCACUCUCACUGUCUCUCCACAUCCACCCGCUCUACCCUGUUCCUCCCUCCCUUCCUUCCUUUCUCUCAUCCGUAGUCUUUCUCGUUCUCUCAGGGUGCCUCUGCUUCGUCCCACACCCUCACACAGGUAAGAAAUAAAAACGUUCUUUGCCUGGGAGGAAGCUUCCA
rnacentral:lncRNA from 1 species